rnacentral:lncRNA from 1 species
CCGCACCAACGCACAGCCACCUUCGUCCCUUAAUUUUCACAAAAGUUCGCUUUUUCUUUCUAAUUGCAAACCAGGCAAAUCAUCUUUAUCAUUGUUUUAAACCGUGUAUUUUACCUCUUUAGAGCGAUUUCGAUGGUGGUUUUACUAGGUAGUGCUAGUGGUUUUGUCUUUUUCUUUUUUAAUUAUUUUGGCUGAAUCUUUAAAAAAUUAUAAUCAAUCACAGAAAAAUCAUAAAAUGAAAAAUUCAAUUUCUUUUGACUCAACAUAAAUAGAUCUACACAUUAAACAUAUAAUAUGAUAUGCUUUAGUACAAAGUUUUUACUAUAAAGAUUUUGUCCUUUUAUUUUUUUUAUUUAUUUGGUUUAAUCUUUAAAGAAAUAUAGUAAAUCAUAGAAAAAGAUUUUUUUUUCUAUCACAGCUGAUUGUACACAAUGGGCUCUUGAUAAGAAAAAGAUUUUUUUCUACCAAAUUGUUAUACAGAUUCUUGACUAACAGGGGAGUUAGUAGCAGGGUUGCUGGUGUCAUCUGGAAGAGCAGGGUUCCUUUGAAGAUUAAAUUUUUUCUCUGGCAAAUUUCUAAUAAUAGACUCCAUGUUGCUACUAACCUAAUUAGAAAAGGGUGAAAAGGCUCUCUGUUUUGUGGUGUUUGUGGUCAUGUUGAGGAUAUUGAUCAUAUUUUUCUUUCAUUGUCACUUGGCAAAGUUUAUUUGGGAGGUAAUUUGUGAAGUGUUUCAUUUGUCUUCGCAUCCUACCUUCUAGGAAGAUUUCUCUAUCUUUUGGUUAGGGGGCAAGGGACCUCUACCAAAAAAACUGAUCAUUUUCUUAUUGUCGGCCUUUGUCUAGGCUCUAUGGAUUACUAGAAACAAUAUUACUAUUGAGAAGAAAUUUCCAAAAGCUCCAAUUGAUGUGAUAUAUACUGCCUUGUCUUCGUUUCAGAAAUGGAGCGUGCUUCUUAGGGAGAAGGACCAAAAGCAGAUCAUACAGGCAAAAGGCGGAGACAUUCUAAACUGACUCAAGACUUUCAAGAGGAAUCCUAUCGUGCAAUCGGAUGUUGUUGAAUUCAAGCUUGUAAUAGUCUUUGAGACUACUUUUUUUUCUUGCUUUUUUUUGUUGUGAACUGGUAUCCCCAGUGCUUUGUAUUAGCUACCAAUUGCUUUCUAAAAAGCAGAGGAUGUUUCCU